UACGAGGGGGCGAGCGUUGUUCGGAAUUAUUGGGCGUAAAGGGUGCGUAGGCGGUUUGGUAAGUCUCUUGUGAAAUCUAUGGGCUCAACUCAUAGUCUGCAAGGGAAACUGCCGGGCUUGAGUGUGGGAGAGGUGAGUGGAAUUUCCGGUGUAGCGGUGAAAUGCGUAGAUAUCGGAAGGAACACCUGUGGCGGAAAGCGGCUCACUGGACCACAACUGACGCUGAUGCACGAAAGCUAGGGGAGCAAACAGG
rnacentral:rRNA from 1 species